GUAGGUGGCAAGCGUUGUCCGGGAAUUAUUGGGGCGUAAAGCGCGCGCAGGCGGUUCUUUAAGUCUGAUGUGAAAGCCCACGGGCUCAACCGUGGAGGGUCAUUGGAAACUGGAGAACUUGGGUACAGAAGAGGAAAGCGGAAUUCCACGUGUAGCGGUGAAAUGCGUAGAGAUGUGGAGGAACACCAGUGGCGAAGGCGGCUUUCUGGUCUGUAACUGACGCUGAGGCGCGAAAGCGUGGGGAGCAAACAGGAUUAGAUACCCUGGUAGUCCACGCCGUAAACGAUGAGUGCUAAGUGUUAGGGGGUUUCCGCCCCUUAGUGCUGCAGCUAACGCAUUAAGCACUCCGCCUGGGGAGUACGGCCGCAAAGGCUGA
rnacentral:rRNA from 1 species